GACAGAGGGUGCAACCGUUGUUCGGAAUUACUGGGCAUAAAGCGCACGUAGGUGGUCUGCUAAGUCAAGUGUGAAAUCCCCCGGCUCAACCGGGGAAUUGCGCUCGAUACUGGCAGGCUCGAGGUUGGUAGGGGUGAGCGGAACUCCAGGUGGAGCGGUGAAAUGCGUAGAUAUCUGGAGGAACACCGGUGGCGAAAGCGGCUCACUGGACCGAAUCUGACACUGAGGUGCGAAAGCUAGGGUAGCAAACGGG
rnacentral:rRNA from 1 species